GUGCCAGCCGCCGCGGUAACACGGGGGGAGCAAGCGUUGUUCGGAAUCACUGGGCGUAAAGGGCGUGUAGGCGGUCAAGUAAGUGGAAUGUGAAACGCCUCGGCUUACCCGAGGACCUGCAUCCCAAACUGCUUGGCUUGAGUAUGGGAGAGGAUGAGGGAAUUCCUGGUGUAGCGGUGAAAUGCGUAGAUAUCAGGAGGAACACCGGUGGCGAAAGCGCUCAUCUGGCCCAAUACUGACGCUGAGGCGCGAAAGCUAGGGGAGCAAACGGGAUUAGAUACCCCAGUAGUCC
rnacentral:rRNA from 1 species